rnacentral:ncRNA from 1 species
ACAGUACAAACUGAGCAGGCGAUGACCCAAACGGGGCGUGGGGCCGGGCCGCCGAAGCGGCAACAGAUGGCGAUUACAUCUGUGGGACAGU